rnacentral:rRNA from 1 species
UACGUAGGUGGCAAGCGUUGUUCGGAUUCAUUGGGCGUAAAGGGUGUGUAGGUGGCGCCGUAAGUCGGGUGUGAAAUUUCGGAGCUUAACUCCGAAACUGCAUUCGAUACUGCGGUGCUUGAGGACUGGAGAGGAGACUGGAAUUCAUGGUGUAGCAGUGAAAUGCGUAGAGAUCAUGAGGAAGACCAGUGGCGAAGGCGGGUCUCUGGACAGUUCCUGACACUGAGACACGAAGGCCAGGGGAGCAAACGGG